rnacentral:lncRNA from 1 species
UUCGAGUUAUAUCGAAAACCUAUCCAAACCCUUAAUUUCUGUUUGUGGACCUGGCCUAAGUGAAAUGCCAAUUAAGCAAACAGUUUCCAUUCAGAGGGCAGGACCACACUCUUUGGGUUCCUGUUUAAGAGUUUGACAUGCACGGGAGACACCUAGCAAAGCCCAAAACUGUAUUUAUUUUUCACCACAUCUCCCUGGUAUAAAACUUUUUGAAAGUAAAAUA